rnacentral:misc_RNA from 1 species
GAUGAAGAACGUAGCGAAAUGCGAUAAGUAAUGUGAAUUGCAGAAUUCAGUGAAUCAUCGAAUCUUUGAACGCACCUUGCGCCCUUUGGACUUCUGAAGGGCAUGCCUGUUUGAGUAUCAUGAACACCUCAACUCCUUAUGGUCUUCCAUGAUGAGCUUGGACUUUGGGGGUUUUGCUGGCCUACAGUCAGCUCCUCUAAAAUAAAUCAGCUUACCGGUGUUUGGUGGGUAUCAUGGGUGUGAUAACUAUCUACGCUCGUGGUUUUCCACCAGGUAACCUUCAGCAGUGGAGGUUCAAUGGAGCUCAUAGAUGUCUCUCCUCAGCGAGGACAGCCCUUUGAAUGUUUGAUCUCAAAUCAGGUAGGACUACCCGCUGAACUUAAGCAUAUCAAUAAGCGGAGGA